rnacentral:misc_RNA from 1 species
AAAUACAAGAGGUCAACAUCUCUUAAAACGGUACUCGUUUCGAACACAAUCGUGAAUUUAGUCGAUUCACGAAUCAACCACACUAAACUUAGUUAUAAAAUACAACAUCAGUGUAAUCUAUCCAAAAGUAAACAUACUCGACUUGGAUACAAAACCCGACCUCUUAGUUUAAAAUUUUUCAUUAUCUCUCCUGCUCCUGAUUAUAAACGGCUUUUAAAAAUAUCUACGCGCAGUUGGAGGUUAGACGCAAACGUAAAUCCUCAUAACGUGACCACGUAAAUUAAAAUUUAGUGAAAUAAAAAAACGGGAAUUAAGUGAAAAUGUUUUUUUCUUUAAUCGGUAUUGGUUGUAUUAUCUACGGAUUGAUUUAUUUGUGUACGUUGUUUUUUGACGCCGAUUUGGAAUUAAAAUUUUACGAAAAAUUUGGUAAACCAAUAAGUCAUUUACGGGGUAAAGUCGUUUUUGUUACCGGAGCUUCAAGUGGGAUUGGAGAACAUAUAGCUAAAAGUUUAGCUAAAAAUGGUGUUAAGUUAGUGUUAGCGGCUAGAAGACAAGAUGAGUUGGAAAGAGUUAAACGUGAAUGUCUUGAAAUAUCAAAUGGGUCCUUAUCAAGUAACGAUAUCUUAGUUCUCGUAAUGGACAUGGUUGAUAUUCAAUUUCAUAAAAAACACUUUGAUCACGCUGUAAGACAUUUUGGCGGUGUUGAUAUCUUAGUAAAUAACGCUGGGAGAUCUCAAAGAGCGAUGUGGGAGAACAUUUCCAUGGAAGUUGAUAAACAAAUGUUUGAUUUAAACGUCUUCAGCGUAAUCCAUUUGAGUCGAGUUGCAAUGGAACAUUUUAAUCAAAGGGGAGAAGGACACAUUGCUGUUACUUCCAGUUUAGCUGGUGUUAUGGGAGUUCCAUUUUCAGGGACUUAUACUGGAUCAAAAUAUGCUAUACAUGGAUAUUUUAAUUGCUUGAGGACUGAGAAAAUUGGAAAAAGACUGUUUGUUACUUUGUUAUGUCCAGGACCAACUUUCACCAAUUUUUUACAAAAUUGCUUUACUGAAAAAGAAGGAGAGAAUUAUAGUGAAACUGUUCAACCAACUGAUAAAAGAAUGACUGGACAACGUUGCGGAGAACUUUGUGCGAUCGCUUUAGCAAAUAAACAAGAAGAAGCAUGGAUUGCGAUUCAACCUUUAAUUACUUUCCUUUACGUCGCUGUAUAUAUGCCAAACAUCUUUAAAUGGGGUUUGAGGAUUUUGGGGCCGGAGACUUUAUUCAAAUUGCGAGAUAGCAGAGAUACAACGGUUCUUAGAGAGGUAGAAACCAUUUGAAAACAACACCAUAUAAUUAUUUAUUUUUAUCUUUUAACACUUUUUGUUUGUUUUUAAAAGUUUGGAAAUAAUUUUUUUCGUUAUAUUAUAAAUUUUUAUAUUCUAAAAAUGAACGUAUUUUAUGUCUGUGAUUUGAAAAUUUCCGAACUAAUUGUUAAAAACUUUUGACUUAACUUUUUUGAGUUAACUAAGUGAUUCCUAAACUAUUUCAAGUCGCUGUACCUCACCUUAAGAUAAAGCAAGAGGCCAUUUUUUAAGAAUAAUUUUAUAUUAACUUUUAAUAGCACUUUAUAUCCUAUAAAAUAUGAACUUACAAUCAGUUCGCGAUGAAAAUAUAUAAUUUUACCCGAUUAAGCCAAGGUCACUUGAGUCUGAGGUUCUACAAUUAAUAUCAAUAUAUAUCAACUCGAAACUGAUCAUCACAUUGCUGCGUCUCGGUCGAAAGGGGGCUCGGUUUUAAUUAAUGUGGGAAAUAUAUGAUUUUAUUCGAUUAAGCCGAGUCACUUACUGUCGAGGCUCUACAAUUAAUAUCAUAUCAACCAGAAACUGAUUAUCGAACUGCUAUCACUUGUGUCUUUGUUUUAGACAGGUCAGAUAAUUCAUGGAUAUUUUUCUGAAAAUUAUUUCCAACAAGAUUACAUGUUUAGAUAGAUCGUUAGCAUAACAUUACUGGAUGAAAUUCAUUGAUAUACUUACUUGGUCUUGAAUUGAGAUAUCAGUUUCGAUCUGCAGCAAAUAUGUUUUCAUGUUUUUCUAAGUGAAUGUCUCAUUAACAUCCUUCUUCAACAAUUUUUUUAAAACGAUGCUUGAUUCACUCGAUUUUGAUCAUUGUUAUUAUUUCCAUAACAAGCAAUACCUUAGUAGUCAUGUUGCCCACUACUUUCAAAUGAACAAAUACAACAAGAUUACCUUUAUACGACUUGUGUACCUGUAUGCAAAAAUAAUGGUAAAGCUAUCAUUCUCCCGUUAAUGAUUUCUGCUUUAAAUUGAAGAUAUUUUACACAUUUAUUAGCGUCUUGUACUUUUUUUUUAUGUUAAUAUCAUGUAAUUAUUUGUUUUCUAUCCCAACCUCAAUGGAGUACUGCAACAUAAACAAAUUUUUUGAACAACGUUGUUAAAUAGUCAUAUUGUGGCGUGAUUAUUAGGUCUUUUUAAAUAAUUAAUCCCGAGAAAACAAGUCACAUUUAAUCGUGUUGAAAAUAUCAUCAGCAAGCUUUGACAAGUUUUAAUAACAGUUUUCCAUUCCAAGGUUUUCAUUAUUCUUUGCAGUAGAUCCAGAAGAAAUACUGAACAAUAUUUCAAAUUCAAUGUGAUAGUUUUAGAUUGAGCUAGUACUACUUUUGCUAGUGCUGUAGUUAUGGGCUGGUAGUGUUGGACACGUAUAAGUAUAGUAUCGACUAGUAUAUAACAACAUGCCACAGCAAUUUUGAAAUGUAAAAUCUAUUUUUACAAAAUACCUGUUGUGGGAGCUUCUUAUGCAAAGCACUAAUAUUCUUCAUAGUUUUAUCAUUGUACUGUAACUACAUAGAUACGUUUUUAUAUUUUUCAUUACAAUAUCUAAUAAUACAUUGCUAUUCAGGAAAUGGAUCCAUAUUGUCGGCUAAAUUAGGUUACUGCACACUGUAAUCGUUUUUAGGGAAGAGAAAAAAUUCAUAGCAUAAUAUUAGAUUUUAAUGUUAGAGUUCAAAAUGACUGAAACGUAUUAUUUUCUGAGAAAUGCUCAGUAUUUUAUAAAAUAACUCCAUAUUCUCCUAUUGAACGUUUUAAUGGACCAACGCUGAUUAUUAUGGCAUACCUACACAUUGACUUUUGAAAACAGAUUGACUUCAAAGUUUCGCAACAACGCAACUUAGCUUUGGGAAGGCCAUAAUUCUCCAUAUACACUUUUAUUCCAUUUUAUGUAGUGGCAAAUUAGUUUGCUACCUGUAUAAAUGUACUACAACGUAGAAUACGACGUGCUUUAGUCGCUUUUAUUUUGAACAUUAUCUUUUCAUUUUUUAACAUUUUCAGUUGCAUAUCAUACAUUGCAUUUCAAAAGUUAAUGCUUAAUAUUAAUACAUUGUAAAUGGAUGGGACUGUGCUAGAGACAAUCUUGAAGCCAAUUCGCAAUACCAUAUCAUAUCAUAUGAUCCCGGUGUCGCGGAAUUGAAAAGUUAAUUCUUAACAAAGAUUUUAUUGCAUAAAAGUGCACAAAAGAGUGUCAUCGAUUAAAUCAUAUCGAAACUUUAUUAAGUAUUAAUUUACUUAUUUAAGUAUCAUUUUAGUAGGGUAAAAGUUUCUCACCCUUAAGCUGUACUUACAUGCAAUAUCGUAGACACACGUGUAGGGACCAAAACCACACGUUUGCGUUCAUAUGGUUUGACACUAAGGACAAAUUGUCGGGUGACACUGAGGAUAACAUUCGGAUGAUAAUUCUAAUUGGACAAGCAACAAUUUUACUCCCAUUUUUCAUAAUUUUGACGGCACAAAUAUAGGAUAUAAUUUCAGGAGCAAUUUGUCGCAAGGAGAUCCUUUAGAAAUCUUUGAGCACUUUAUCACAAACACUUUUAGGCUUAUCUACUUAGUGAAAAUUCGGUCAGAUCUAUGAUUAUCCCUAUUUAUGCCACAAAUCAAAAAGCAACGUAUAAAAUAUUAUUGGUCCAGACACUUUAUUAUUGAAACACUAAUUUUCCUAUAAUGUAUUGGACGUAGUAGAUUUACAGAUUUGUUGUGAAUUAAGCUAUACAAAAUACGACUUAUUGUUACGACUUCAAAAUUACUUUCAAACAAAGCUUUUAUCAAUUUCAAUCUUUGCUCAUUGAUGAGACUUCCAGAUACUUUUCAAAUGAAGAAUCACAUUUCGUCAGUACAUACUGUCAAAGGACAUCGCUUUGGUAUAAAAUUAUUCGAAAUACUAGACUAUGAAGCUUGCUACAUUUUAAAUUUGAUCAUUUAUACCAGAGUAUCAACAGAAGUAAAUGCUUUUCAUAAAGCUAUAGAAAAAUCCGAAAAUAUAGUGAUGACGCUGAUAGAAGCAUAUUGCGGCGAAGGUCCACAAUUUAUAUACUGAUAACUGUAACACAAAUUAUUAACACAAAUGUUUGCAUGAGAAGAAAGUAAAUUGUAGCACUGCUAAGUCUAACAGAAUGUAUAUGUCUAAAUUCAAUACAAAACUUCAAAAAGGAACCACAAAAACUUUAUCUGCCAAUACUCUUCGUGCAAUAAAAAGGCGUGACGACAGAGAUGUUCAUAUUAUUACAACAAUGCACAAUAACACUAUGAAAAAAACAAUGUCAAUCAGAAUUGCAAUUGUUUUAAAACCUUUAGCUGUUGUAGACUUCUUCUUCUUCGUUCUGUCUAUUUUCAUUCUGUAAACGAGGAUAACCAACUCUGGGCCCAUCUCUUGGAUCGUCGUGGUGAUGUCCUUCCUGUUGGUUUCUCCGUCACACAUAUAUGAGUCAGCCGGCCACUUCAUUUAUUAUUUUCUAAAAAAUGACUAUAUGCCAAACUCGAUCCAUAACUGAUGUCACAAGUCACUACAAAACGGCGUUUCUCACUCACUUUUAUUCAUUUUAAUAAAACUCAGGAUAUGUUCUUCAUAUGUGGCAAAAGAAAAUUUAAAAAAAGCGCAAAAACAGACAUUUAUUACUGGUAACCCCUUAUUAUGAAGAGUAUGUAAUACUUCAUAUUUUACUGCAUAUUUUGGUAAUCACUAAGUUAACCGGUCUUAGAAGAAAAGGAAUAGUUAAAAAAUACUGACAUUAUUGAUAGGAAUUAAAAGAUGAUUUUUGUAUUUCUUUAAGCCAAAAGUAUAUCAUUAAGAAAUAGUGGUAAUAACUGACAGUUUAAUUUGAUAAGAUUUCUUUUUAAAAUAUUUAAUAAAAUCAAGGAUUUAAAUUAAAAUACAGAGUUACUACAAAGAUUACCUACUAUAUACUCAACAUGCUAUAUACUUAAAACUAUUACACCUACAGACAUAACGAUUAUAUAUAUCAAAAUAAUCGCAAAAUCACAACUUGGUAAGACUGGUGACAGCUUGAGAUCACUAUCUAUAAGUAUUUCCUUUCUAUAUUUUUGGAGUGGCAGUGUUGGUGCGAAUGACCUACCUUUAUUUCCUUGGCCGCCUAGGUCACCUGAGUUAACACCCUGUGAUUUCUUUCUUUGUGGCACAUUAAAGAUCUUGCUUACAUGCUAGUUUCCGGUUAUUUUGAUGUUUCAUUCAUGUUUGUAAGUGUAAUAGUUUUAAAAAUAUAGCCUUUUAAAACAUUUUCGCACAUAUUAAGUUAAGACAUUGUAUUCAACUAUAUUUCAAAUUGUUUCCAAACAUUUAAUUUCUUUUUGUAUAUAAAGUAUUUUUCUGA